rnacentral:tRNA from 1 species
GGAGGGUGCUCAGUGGUAGAGUGCAUGUUUAGCAUUCAUGAGGUCCUGGGUUCAAUCCACAGUACCUCUG